rnacentral:rRNA from 1 species
AACGCGAAGAACCUUACCAAGUCUUGACAUCCCCCUGACCGGUCCGUAACGGGACCUUUCCUUCGGGACAGGGGAGACAGGUGGUGCAUGGUUGUCGUCAGCUCGUGUCGUGAGAUGUUGGGUUAAGUCCCGCAACGAGCGCAACCCCUAUCCCCAGUAGCCAGCAGGUAGAGCUGGGCACUCUGAGGAGACUGCCAGGGAUAACCUGGAGGAAGGCGGGGAUGACGUCAAAUCAUCAUGCCCCUUAUGAUUUGGGCUACACACGUGCUACAAUGGCGUAAACAAAGGGAAGCGAGAGGGUGACCUGGAGCAAAUCCCAAAAAUAACGUCCCAGUUCGGACUGUAGUCUGCAACCCGACUACACGAAGCUGGAAUCGCUAGUAAUCGCGGAUCAGAAUGCCGCGGUGAAUACGUUCCCGGGUCUUGUACACACCG